UACGUAGGCAGCAAGCGUUGUUCGGAAUUACUGGGCGUAAAGAGUGUGUAGGCGGUUCUCUAAGUUCGGUGUGAAAUCUCCCGGCUUAACUGGGAGGGUGCGCCGGAAACUGGAGGACUUGAGUAUGGGAGAGGAAGGCGGAAUUCCUGGUGUAGCGGUGAAAUGCGUAGAUAUCAGGAGGAACACCUGCGGUGUAGACAGCUUUCUGGACCAUUACUGACGCUGAGACACGAAAGCGUGGGUAGCAAACAGG
rnacentral:rRNA from 1 species